UACGUAGGGGGCAAGCGUUGUCCGGAAUCAUUGGGCGUAAAGAGCGCGUAGGCGGUCCGAUAAGUCGGCUGUGAAAGUCAGGGGCUCAACCCUUGAAAGCCGGCCGAUACUGUCGGACUAGAGUCCGGAAGAGGCAAGUGGAAUUCCCGGUGUAGCGGUGAAAUGCGCAGAUAUCGGGAGGAACACCAAUGGCGAAGGCAGCUUGCUGGGACGGUACUGACGCUGAGACGCGAAAGCGUGGGGAGCAAACAGG
rnacentral:rRNA from 1 species